rnacentral:rRNA from 1 species
GACGAACGCUGGCGGCGUGCUUAACACAUGCAAGUCGAACGGAAAGGCCCUGCUUUUGUGGGGUGCUCGAGUGGCGAACGGGUGAGUAACACGUGAGUAACCUGCCCUUGACUUUGGGAUAACUGCAGGAAACUGGGGCUAAUACCGGAGAGGAGCUCCUGCUGCAUGGUGGGGGUUGGAAAGUUUCGGCGGUGGGGGAUGGACUCGCGGGUUAUCAGCUUGUUGGUGGGGUAGUGGCUUACCAAGGCUUUGACGGGUAGCCGGCCUGAGAGGGUGACCGGCCACAUUGGGACUGAGAUACGGACCAGACUGCUACGGGAGGCAGCAGUGGGGAAUAUUGCACAAUGGGCGGAAGCCUGAUGCAGAAACGCCGCGUGCGGGAUGACGGCCUUCGGGUUGUAAACCGCCUUCGCCUGUGACGAAGCGUGAGUGACGGUAAUGGGUAAAGAAGCACCGGCUAACUACGUG